CUUCCUCCAUUUCUGCUGAAGAAUCCUACAAUAUCAGGUCAGGAAUAGGGUUGGGGAUUGAAGAUGGAUUCCGAUUCUGGAAUCAGACACUUGGAUUAAUGUUCAGACUCUUGUUCUAAAAUCAACAACUGGAUUCCUCUUCUCUGUGUACACAUGUGUAUUUUUCACUUGCUUAUCUGUCAGGAACUUGGGCGCUGGCGAGCAGCUUUAAUAAUCUGAACAUAGUUUAGAGAUGGACUGCAACAUGUGCUCAAAGGCUGCAUGUGCUGAAGAACGAUGGCAAAGCUAAGUGUGAUCACUGUAAUAAAUGAAUGUUGCAGCAGGGUGUCUCCAUCAACAUGAGCAGUAUCUGCGCUCGCUUCACCAACAGCAGAGGAAAAGAACGCACUGUGUUACAUUCAUUGUGCAUCCCGGCUCAACCAACAAGUGUUGUGUGUUUUAGCUCAAGAGUUUGGAGCGUGUAGCUGAGCAGCUCAGUGCUAGCUUUAGCUUAUUAGCUGAGGGGGAAACUAAACAGCUCAUUCUCUCCAUCUGUGUGUGUUUACAGUCUGGAUCAUGGAGGACACACGAGGAUUACAGCAGGACUGCACAAAUAUGUCUGUUUCCUCACUCUGGAUCCAAACACAGCACACACUCAACUCAUUUUGUCUGAGGAGAACAGAGAGGUGAAGAGUGUGAGAGAGAAUCAGCCGUAUCCUGAUCAUCCACA
ensembl:processed_transcript